CCUACGGGUGGCAGCAGUGAGGAAUAUUGGUCAAUGGACGCAAGUCUGAACCAGCCAUGCCGCGUGCAGGAAGACGGCUCUAUGAGUUGUAAACUGCUUUUGUACGGGGGUAAACGCAGAUACGCGUAUCUGUCUGAAAGUAUCGUACGAAUAAGGAACGGCUAACUCCGUGCCAGCAGCCGCGGUAAUACGGAGGAUUCAAGCGUUAUCCGGAUUGAUUGGGUUUAAAGGGUGCGUAGGCGGUCGGAUAAGUUAGAGGUGAAAUCCCGGGGCUCAACUUCGGAAUUGCCUCUGAUACUGUUAGGCUAGAGAGUAGUUGCGGUAGGCAGAAUGUAAGGUGUAGCGGUGAAAUGCUUAGAGAUCAUACAGAACACCGAUUGCGAAGGCAGCUUACCAAGCUACUUCUGACGUUGAGGCGCGAAAGCGUGGGGAGCAAACAGGAUUAGAUACCCUAGUAGUC
rnacentral:rRNA from 1 species